rnacentral:rRNA from 1 species
GACGUAGGGCGCGAGCGUUGUCCGGAUUUAUUGGGCGUAAAGAGCUCGUAGGCGGCUUGUCGCGUCGACUGUGAAAUCCCGAGGCUCAACUUCGGGCUUGCAGUCGAUACGGGCAGGCUAGAGUUCGGGUAGGGGAGACUGGAAUUCCUGGUGUAGCGGUGAAAUGCGCAGAUAUCAGGAGGAACACCGAUGGCGAAGGCAGGUCUCUGGGCCGAUACUGACGCUGAGGAGCGAAAGCGUGGGGAGCGAACAGG